GACGAACGCUGGCGGCGUGCCUAAUACAUGCAAGUAGAACGAGAUUCGAACGGGUGAGUAACGCGUGGUAACCUGCCUCACAGCGGGGGAUAACUAUUGGAAACGAUAGCUAAUACCGCAUCUUGUGAGAUGGACCUGGGUUGUAUUAGCUAGUUGUGGAGGUAAAGGCUCACCAAGGCGACGAGACAUAGCAGACCUGAGAGGUGUAUCUGCCCCACUGGGACUGAGACACGGCCCAGACUCCUACGGGAGGCAGCAGUGGGGAAUAUUGCACAAUGGGCGCAAGCCUGAUGCAUCCAUGCCGCGUGUAUGAAGAAGGCCUUCGGGUUGUAAAGUACUUUCAGCGGGGAGGCGUUACCCGCAGAAGAAGCACCGGCUAACUCCGUGCCAGCAGCCGCGGUAAUUC
rnacentral:rRNA from 1 species